AUCCGGCUGACGAGUCACAGACAGGACGAAACGCGCGUCCUGGAU
rfam:Schistosoma curassoni strain Dakar, Senegal genome assembly, scaffold: SCTD_scaffold0002736